GCCGGGAUAGCUCAGCUGGGAGAGCAACAGACUGAAGUCGAUAUGGCAUUCUGGAGGUCCCGUGUUCAAUCCACGGUCCUGGCA
rnacentral:tRNA from 1 species